rnacentral:rRNA from 1 species
GAACUGUGCAAACGUUAUUCGGAAUCACUGGGCUUACAGGGUGCGUAGGCGGCUUGUUAAGUAGGGUGUGAAAGCCCCCGGCUCAACCGGGGAAUGGCGCCCUAAACUGGCGAGCUAGAGUGAGAUAGGGGUGUGUGGAACUUCCGGUGGAGCGGUGAAAUGUGUUGAUAUCGGAAGGAACGCCGGUGGCGAAAGCGACACACUGGAUCUUGUCUGACGCUGAGGCACGAAAGCCAGGGGAGCGAACGGGAUUAGAUACCCCGGUAGUCCUGGCUGUAAACGAUGAGCACUAGCUAGGAGGGGCGUAUGCCCUUCCUAACGGAGCGAAAGUGUUAAGUGCUCCGCCUGGGGAGUAUGGUCGCAAGGCUG